rnacentral:rRNA from 14 species
CGAUAGUUUUUAUUUAUUCAUUUCAAAUAUAAUAAUUAUUGUUGAAAUGAAAGUGGUCGCUGGAUAAUAAUAAAUAAGCAGCAGAAUAAUUUUACAA